CAUAUCUUGCCCUUGUGAGAAUAAGCCUGAAAUAUGGUUAGGGAAAAGAAUGGUACAAAAUAGGAGCCCCAGGCUAUUACACUUCAUGUGUAUCUAGGCCAGGCCACAUGAUUUGGUUCGAACCGCAAAGUUCGAACUGCAGGGCUGAAGUCCAUGGGGUACACUGGCUGUGCCUCCUGCUAAUGUAUGUGGGACAAGGCAAAGGUGUACGCUAAACGAUAUGGACACAGCUAUGGGAUGAGCUGCAGACAGGCUCUGCUGUGUUUUCUGCAGACCACCACACCUCCAACACGUCACCAAGACAGGAGAUGAAGGCCAGCAAUCCAACAUGGAGGCUAAAUCGCUGUCUGUGUCUGCUGAACUCAAGAAUCAUCCCUUUUAUGUCAAAAAAGCUGACCGCCUCCUUAUCCAGCAGACACUUCAGAAAAGCAAACAAUCGGGUCCAGGAAUAGCAGUGGUAUUGUUGCGUCCCCACGUUUCUCAUAAAGGCCCUCCCCUCCCCCUCCCCUCCUCCUUCCCUCCUUCCUGGGUUUCAAUCCAAACCUGAAUGAGGCCCAAACAAAGAGGAACUGUCAGUGGUCUUCUAGACGUGGUGGAUUAAGCAGAGAAAUGAAGACCUGUCGUAGACUUUAGCCAAAUAGACUCCCUGUAUCUAAGAGGCAGUGGCAAGGAGCCACAUUUCUUUCAUGACAGGCUUUUAAUGAGCUCUAAUUAAAUAUCCAUGGACUCAGCAAUUGUCCAAGGGUAAGAGGUGGAUCGCUGGCCACCUAAGACCAGAACAACAAGAAACAGGAGAGAUAAAAUCUCAAAGGAUAACCUGCUGUUGCCAGCCUGUCUUUCAUUUCUACGUUAUAACCAGUGGAGUCGUAAAUGGCAAAUGGAAAUAUCUUUGCACAACUAACCCCAUUCAAUGAUUAAUAUAAACUGAACAAGAAUAAGGGUUGAAUCCAUAACCACUCUAGUGGUUCUGUGAGGCUUGAAUAGA